ACACGUAGGGGGCGAGCGUUGUCCGGAAUUACUGGGCGUAAAGGGCGCGUAGGCGGCCUAGCAAGUCAGGCGUGAAAUUUUAAGGCUCAACCUUAAGACUGCGUCUGAAACUGUUAGGCUUGAGGGCAGGAGAGGAGAGCGGAAUUCCCAGUGUAGCGGUGAAAUGCGUAGAUAUUGGGAGGAACACCAGUGGCGAAGGCGGCUCUCUGGACUGUACCUGACGCUGAGGCGCGAAAGCGUGGGGAGCAAACAGGAUUAGAUACCCUGGUAGUCCACGCUGUAAACGAUGGGUGCUAGGUGUUGGAGGUAUCGAUCCCUCCAGUGCCGCAGUAAACGCAAUAAGCACCCCGCCUGGGGACUACGGCCGCAAGGCUGAA
rnacentral:rRNA from 1 species